rnacentral:rRNA from 1 species
GAUGAACGCUGACAGAAUGCUUAACGCAUGCAAGUCUUUGGCGAAUCUGUGCUUGCACAGGCUAGCCAAGGCGGACGGGUGAGUAACGCGUAAAGAACUUGCCCUGCAGACAGGGAUAACAGACGGAAACGACUGAUAACACCUGAUACAAUUGCCGGCACGCAUGUGCCUGGCAAUGAAAAGAGAUGCUGCGGGAGAGCUUUGCGUCCUAUUAGCUUGUUGGUGAGGUAACGGCUCACCAAGGCGAUGAUAGGUAGCCGGCCUGAGAGGGUGAACGGCCACAAGGGGACUGAGAUACGGCCCUUACUCCUACGGGAGGCAGCAGUGGGGAAUAUUGGACAAUGGGGGCAACCCUGAUCCAGCAAUUCUGUGUGCACGAAGAAGGUUUUCGGAUUGUAAAGUGCUUUCAGCAGGGAAGAAGAAAGUGACGGUACCUGCAGAAGAAGCGACGGCUAAAUACGUGCCAGCAGCCGCGGUAAUACGUAUGUCGCAAGCGUUAUCCGGAAUUAUUGGGCAUAAAGGGCAUCUAGGCGGCCAGACAAGUCUGGGGUGAAAACUUGCGGCUCAACCGCAAGCCUGCCCUGGAAACUGUUUGGCUAGAGUGCUGGAGAGGUGGACGGAACUGCACGAGUAGAGGUGAAAUUCGUAGAUAUGUGCAGGAAUGCCGAUGAUGAAGAUAGUUCACUGGACGGCAACUGACGCUGAAGUGCGAAAGCUAGGGGAGCGAACAGG